UACGGGGGGGGCAAGCGUUGUCCGGAUUUAUUGGGCGUAAAGAGCGUGUAGGCGGCUGGGUAGGUCCGUUGUGAAAACUCGAGGCUCAACCUCGAGACGCCGAUGGAAACCCUCCAGCUAGAGUCCGGAAGAGGAGAGUGGAAUUCCUGGUGUAGCGGUGAAAUGCGCAGAUAUCAGGAAGAACACCCGUGGCUAAGGCGGCUCUCUAGUACGGUACUGACGCUGAGACGCGAAAGCGUGGGGAGCGAACAGG
rnacentral:rRNA from 1 species